rnacentral:rRNA from 1 species
UACGUAGGGUGCAAGCGUUUGUCCGGAAUUAUUGGGCGUAAAGAGCUCGUAGGCGGUCUGUCGCGUCUGCUGUGAAAACUCGGGGCUUAACCCCGGGCCUGCAGUGGGUACGGGCAGACUAGAGUGCGGUAGGGGAGACUGGAAUUCCUGGUGUAGCGGUGAAAUGCGCAGAUAUCAGGAGGAACACCGAUGGCGAAGGCAGAUCUCUGGGCCGUAACUGACGCUGAGGAGCGAAAGCAUGGGGAGCGAACAGG